rnacentral:lncRNA from 1 species
UGAAACCACCGCCUGGGAUUGAAGCAAACGCGCCACCACCGCCUGGAGGAGCAAAUUCACUCUUUCCUCAUCCGUAGCAAUUUGUUCCGAUCGGAAUUGAGCGGUAAUCACCCACACCGGUGCUUUUCGCCUCCAAUAUCUCAACCUCCAAAACCAUCAGCUCCAAUAUUUCUCCAAUUUGUUUGCUCGAAACUUCAAAUGUUGAACCACAUUUACGUUCUUCAUCAGCUGAUUGUGGACUCCCCAUCUGCAGUAGCUGGCAUGCACCGGUAGCAGAAAUGUUUUAACUUAUCGAUGAGGUUUUGGUCGAGUUCACCGUCGGAAUUGUACCACUCGCCGCCGCCG